rnacentral:piRNA from 1 species
UGCUGAGAAAAUGUUACCUGUGAGAAUCA